CUUCCAUCCAUAUGAUGACAAGCGACGAACUUCCUUAUCCAUCCUCUCCAUAGUGUCAUAAUUAUUUGCAGAGCCGAACUUCUCCUCUUUAGCAAUAGAAAGAGCCAGGUCCCGCACGAGGUCAUGCAUCUUAAAGCCACCUCCUCUGGUGUGUUUUCUUCAUUUUGUACUGCAAACCCUUCUGCGACCCACAACCGUACAACGGUCUCACGUGAUAAUUCAUGAUCUUCGGGGAACAGGCUACAAUACAAGAAGCAGUUUCUAAGAUCUCCCGACUUGAUUCUCUGGUGGCAAUGAAGACAAUAGGCCACCUAUAGAUACGAUUGCCAGUGGCAGACCUUGGCACCUAACUACUAUAUCAUUAGUCAGUUUCUCAAGGUUCUGUGGACACUUGCAGUUUCUGUAGAAAGCCCUUCUACAGAAGAGUUCAAGCGCGUCAGUGUGCUCCAAUGGGUUGAGUUUGAGUUGGCGUGCUGACUGAGCAAGAGUUGCUACAUCACCCUGUCGUGUUGUGAUGAUUAUGCGACUUGCUUGGAAGUUUGGGAAUGCAUCUGCUAUUUGAGUGCACAAUCUUCCUAAGCAAUUUCCUCAGCAAAUCAACGACAUCAUAUGACUGUGACACGACAAUCCAAGUACUAACUUCGAAAUUGUUCUUCUCCCGCUCAUAUACAUUAUUGACCAGGGUGGUUUUCCCCAAUCCACCCAUACCAGAUACUGUUAUUAUUGUGUUAUCUUGCUCUUUGGAGUACAACCAGUCAGUCAACAGUUUCCUGUUGUCUUCUAUCCCAACUAGAUCAUCUGGAGCUAGAAGGCAGUCUUGGGACCGUUUCCUUUCAAUAUCUGCAAGCGGAUUGGGAGUGUGUUGAGACUGCUGCUGCCACCGUUUUUUCCGCAUUGCAACAUUUUCAAUUUUUUUCUCUAUCUUGCUAAUCUCUUCAGCAAUUUCACUGAAAACCGUGACAUAAUUCGGUGUGGUGAAGAGUUUCUUGACAGAAUUUUCUUCUUCCAAUUUAAGAGCAUGGUAUGAAUAUUUGUCCAUUAUGUCCUGAACACGGUGGGCCAGACCUCGCACCUCUGCAAUCCAACCCUUGACAACCUCGUCUGUAAGAUUUGUUGUACUCAUCUGUUUUAUAACAUUGUUCAUCGUCUUCAGUUCAUCCUCUAUUUCCUCAACCUUUGAUGGCAGUUCCUUAAGAUUUGUAGCUUUUUCAGAUAGCUUGGUUAUAGCAGCUUUGGUGGCUUCCUCCACUAAAACAGAACCAAUCUUUGAGACAGCGAGGAUUACAGCCUCCAUGUGUGCUGAACAAAGGCACAGAUUGUAUUACAUAAUGCAGUAACAAACUAAAGCAAACUAACAGAACACAGGGCAUCAGUCCUUGUAGGAGUUAAUUAGCAAAAAGGCUAUGAAAAUAAAUACUUAUGUGCCACUCAGUUUCGUUUCAUCCCUUACAUUAUCUUGAGUUUUAAUUUAUUUUCAUCCUCUAUGUGCCCACCCUGUUACAUGAGGGUAAUUUUUACAUAUUUUAUUAUAAAUUAACCCCCUGAUAAAACUUUUCUGAAACAUUCCUUAAGCAUAGAGCCAUGAAAUUUUGGCGCAGUUUAUAUGUAGCCUGGUGCUGCAAGACUUGGCGUCAUGUGGGGUGGCAUGUAGAACCUCUAUGGCUCCAUUGACCAUCCUACAAGGUCGCCUGACGACAAAUACUUUGGUGCGACGCUAUGAACCAGGGGUGGAUACAAGACCCGACGAGCUAGGUCAUUAUCAGUAUAAUGAUCUCUUAUAUAUUAAUUGCAGUCAAUAAAUUUGUGCAAGCAACAAUUUGACCGUAUUUACACCAAAUCAGGGCAUCCCUGUUCUUUCAAGUUCUGAAUUUUUCUGAAUUUGGCGAUAUCAGUUCUGGAUUUUUUCUAAGUGAAUUUUCAAGAUACUGAUUUUGAUUUUAAUCAUGAAUGAUUUGCACUCUAACUUUUCCACAUUUAUUUUGUGUAUCCAUCACCAUCAUCUAGCAGGAGCAGAACCUACCCAUUGUCGCACCAACCACCUGCUUCCGUUCUUCAGACCCCUUGUUGUUUCCCAUUUGGUUAAUCUGAACAUAUUGCCAUACUUGACACUUUCCCAAUUCCCAUGCUCUAUUUAGUGCAUUAUAUUUUCCAUUAGACUGGUCUGGACAGAUUUCUAAGUAACUCAAUUGGUUGUAAGGUUAAUCGCAAUAUCAACAAUAUCUGGUUAGUAUUCUUAAGGAGUGCCAUACGGGAAAGCGAUCAUAUGACUAUAUGAGAAGUUAGGUCAUUCUAUUCUUCUUACUUAAUGGUAUAUGCUUCCAGAAGUGCUAUAUGACUGAUAUACAUUGUCACUUUACCUUACCAUUACCAUGCAUUUAACCGUGACAGAUUUUACUCCUAGCAUAUAUGUUACACCAUAAUAAAAAAAUGAAUUUGAAGACUGGAAGUGUGACUGAAAUUGAGGUCUGAAUAUUAUAUUCGAGGCCUGGAAGUAAAUCUUAAAUUGACUUUUGAAUCACACGUAACUCCUGAGGUUAUAUCCCCAAUCCAUCACACUUCAAUUGAGUUUUGAAUAACACUUGUAUUAAUAGGUGUGCAAAUUUUACUAUAAUAACAGAUUUUGGAUCCCCUUCUUUUUGCAGCUCGUUGAAACCUGAAACUGUUAACCAGGGGAAAUUUGUUUCUCAUGAAAUUAUUAUCUAUCUUUUGCAAGAAAAAUCUUCAUAGCAAGGUGAAUCAGGAUUAUUCUGGAUGUUUUUUCAGUUACUGGAAAACAAGCGGUUAGUAUUUUGCACAUUUCUGAAUUGACAUGUGUUAGCUCUAAAUUUCAGAUAUUUGCUCUAACAAGAACCUCAUUGGUAUGGAAAGGGGGACACUUUUUUUUAUUAAAUAUGAUGAUUGUACAAGGACUAAUAUCUUAUACUCUUUUUGUUAUGUUGCAUAAAAAAUAAAGGUUAGACUUUGGAUAAUGGACUGGUUUCUGGUUAACAUCCAAAGAUUGUAUCGCUUGCUGAUGAAAAACCCCUGGUAAUCUAUUUAUUGGUUAUGGAAGUUAUAAAAAUUUUGUUCAAGCUUAUAAGCUUGCAAUUGUCUGCUGGUCAUUUUAGAAAUAUCUAUUGACAUGAUAUUGUAAGUGUACAGGAUCAAAUGAUGAAUGCCCUGUCGAACAGGAUCAUAUCAGAUUUGUUACCUUAAUCAAGUCCAAGCACUAUGCAUGUUUUGGUUUUGAACUGCUUAGGUUGGAGAUACUUCUCAGAUAGGAAUCCAAAUAUCAGAGGUUGUCCUUGUACAAAUUGUCAAUCCAGAAAGAAACACAGUGGAAGUCAAGAGGAAGCAAUGAAAGUAGAUUACAAGCCUCGUCCUUAUUGACCAUCAUAUAUUGUUUUAAUGAAAAUACUGCAUUUUAUUAUGUAUC